rnacentral:rRNA from 1 species
AUUGAACGCUGGCGGCAGGCCUAACACAUGCAAGUCGCACGAGUGGCGGACGGGUGAGUAAUGUCUGGGAAACUGCCUGAUGGAGGGGGAUAACUACUGGAAACGGUAGCUAAUACCGCAUACCAUCAGAUGUGCCCAGAUGGGCUUAGCGUGUAGGUGGGGUAACGGCUCACCAAGGCGACGAUCCCUAGCUGUGCUGAGAGGAUGAUCAGUCACACGUGGACUGAGACACGGCCCAGACUCCUACGGGAGGCAGCAGUGGGGAAUAGUGCACAAUGGGCGCAAGCCUGAUGCAGCCAUGCCGCGUGUAUGAAGAAGGCCUUCGGGUUGUAAAGUACUUUCAGCGGGGAGGCGUGACCCGCAGAAGAAGCACCGGCUAACUCCGUGCCAGCAGCCGCGGUAAUAC